CUGAUUAGCUAUUAUAUUACAUGUACAUAUUAGUCAAGCAUGAAAUAUUCUGUUUUUAAAACGUUUGGACAUCGUCUGAGAAAAACGUAGAAAGUCCCUGAGAAUUAUGUUGUUUGUGUCGCCGUUAUUAGGGAUUAUUUGUACACUCAUUACAAUAAGAUUUAAAGUUUCUCCACAAUCAUUCUAUAACUAUCACUUUGCUAAAUCAAUAAUAAAGCUGAUCACCAAAUUUACAUUGCUUGAGUGAGUAUACAUCAUAAAGUCAACGUUACCCUACCGACGUUUUUCCAGUUUAUUCCGGUUUAUAGACAUGUUCCAUUUACGUUUUCUUAAAAGUUAGUUCUGGCAAUGUUCCCAUUCGGCAAACAUCGGCAGAUUCCGGUACCCUACAUCUGAAGGUGGAAAAGUCGUGUUCAUUAUCAAGAAAAUAAAUAAAAUGUGCUUCCCUGUCGAGAAUGUCCAUACUUAACAUGUACUUAUACUGUAGACAUUUAAUCCGCCUAUUCAAUGAACGCGGGAAAUAGAAUGCAGUCGAUGUAAACAGUACAUUCUGACGUCAUAUUAGUUGUGGGUUUUUUUUAUACCCCCCGCAAAUGAAGUUUGGGGGGUAUACUGGAAUCACUUUGUCCGUCCGUCCGUCCGUCUGUCCGUCCGUUUGUCCGUAGAAGCAAUUUGUCCGAAGUUUAUUUCUAAUACCGCUGGACAUAUUUCAUUCAAACUUUAUGCACAUCUUCUAUAUAUUAUGUAGUUGUGCAUUUCCUAUUUUCAUUGAAAUAUUUUAACAGUUAUAGAAGUUACGCACAUUUUCUUUUCAUUUUGGGGGUUGCGCACUUUGUCCAGAGUUUAAUUCUAAUACCGUUCAACAAAUUUGAUUCAAACUUUAUUCUCAUCUUAUAUAUAUAUAAUGUAGUUGUGCAUCUUCUAUUUUCAUUGAAAUAUUUUAACGUUUAUGGAAGUUACGGACAUUUUCUGAUUUGGUUGUACAUUGUAUAUUGCUAUCGGAGAUGUGCACUGGUCGAGUCCACCUAGAAAAAUUCACCCAGGUGUGACAAUCACAUUUGGGGUGCAUACGGGUAGAGUAAAUUAGGCUACCUGAGAGAAAUAUAGCGGAUAAGAUGAGAAAUGUGUACGUAUUUAUUAAUUCAUGUUAGCUUUUAGCUCUUCGUCAGGUUUUUGCAAGUUUUGGAUGGGAACAACGUCAUGUUCCUCGUUAGGACUCGUGGUUGUAGACAUGCAGGACAGAAUUAGACGAAGUGCAGGCCUAGGAUUUUAAUGAAGGCUCGCAGUGGUGCCCUGGCAUAGUUCUUCAUAAAUUUUUGAGCCUCAAAACCAGCCUCCCUCAUGCCGAGUCAUGGUCGUUGCCUGGAAACAACAGGUCGUCAUCAUAAAAUCCUAUAGAUAUAGCUCGUCUCCAUUUCUUUGCUUCCAAUAUCAAAAUCAUUGUAUGAAUUCGCCAUGUUGCAGAAGGCCUAGUUCUAGUAGUUGCAGACGGUAUCUAAAAUGAAACCACGGUUUGUUUAAUGUUUUUGUCUUAUUGGUAAAUUAAAUCCUUGUCUGUUUACAAAUUAACCUCUGUAUAUAUAUUCUGAUGCGGUU